rnacentral:tRNA from 1 species
GCCCUCGUCGUUCAAUGGAUAGGACGUCAGCUUGCGGAGCUGAUAAUGUCAGUUCGAUUCUGGCCGAGGGCACAA